UACCCGAGUAGCAUGGGACACGUGGAAUCCCGUGUGAAUCUGCGAGGACCACCUCGUAAGGCUAAAUAUUCCUGGAUGUCCGAUAGCGAAUAGUACCGCGAGGGAAAGGUGAAAAGAACCCCGGGAGGGGAGUGAAAUAGAACGUGAAAUUGUAAGCUUACAAACAGAAGAAGAACGACUUAGCGUUUAACUUCGUGCCUGUUGAAGAAUGUUCCGGCGACUUAUAGUUAGUGGCAGGUUAAGAUAGAGAUAUCGGAGCCAUAGUGAAAGCGAGCUUGAAUAGAGCGUUGGUCACUAAUUAUAGACCCGAACCCGCUUGAUCUAACCAUGGACAGGAUGAAACUUAGGUAAUACUAAAUGGAGGUCCGAACCGACUAAUGUUGAAAAAUUAGCGGAUGAUUUGUGGUUAGGGGUGAAAUGCCAAUCGAAAGCGGAGCUAGCUGGUUCUCCCCGAAAUGUAUUUAGGUGCAGCGGUUAGCGUUAUAGCGUAGGGGUAAAGCACUGUUUCGGUGCGGGCUGGUAAUUCGGUACCAAAUCGAGGCAAACUCUGAAUACUACGUGCAUAGCUAACCAGUAAGACUGUGGGGGAUAAGCUUCAUAGUCAAGAGGGAAACAGCCCAGAUCACCAGCUAAGGCCCCUAAAUAAUUACUAAGUGAUAAAGGUAGUGGAAAGGCUUAGACAACCAGGAGGUUUGCUUAGAAGCAGCAAUCCUUUAAAAAGUGCGUAAUAGCUUACUGGUCUAGCAAUUCUGCGCCGAAAACUUACGGGACUAAGUAAUUUGCCGAAGCUGUGAGAUAUUUUAUAUAUCGGUAGGGGAGCGUUCCAUUGUAGGCUGAAGUAUUAACGAAAGUGGAUAUGGACGAAAUGGAAGUGAGAAUGUCGGAUUGAGUAGCGAAAACAUUGGUGAGAAUCCAAUGCUCCGAAACCCUAAGGUUUCCUCCGCAAGGCUCGUCCACGGAGGGUUAGUCAGGUCCUAAGGUGAGGCUGAAAAGCGUAGUCGAUGGAUAAUAGGUUAAUAUUCCUAUACUGAUUAUU
rnacentral:rRNA from 14 species